UACGUAGGGGGCAAGCGUUGUCCGGAUUUAUUGGGCGUAAAGAGCGCGUAGGCGGCCAGGUAGGUCAGAUGUGAAAACUCGAGGCUCAACCUCGAGAGGUCGGUGGAAACCGUCUGGCUAGAGUCCGGAAGAGGAGAGUGGAAUUCCAGGUGUAGCGGUGAAAUGCGUAGAUAUGUGGAGGAAUACCGGUGGCGAAGGCGGCAUCCUGGACCGGCAUUGACGCUGAUGAGCGAAAGCUAGGGGAGCAAACGGG
rnacentral:rRNA from 1 species